GAGAGUAUAGCUCAGCAGUAGAGCAAAUGCUUAGCAUGCAUGAGGUCCUGAGUUCAAUCCCCAGCACUUCUA
rfam:Camelus ferus unplaced genomic scaffold scaffold812, whole genome shotgun sequence.